UUCUAGCAGGGGAGCACAGCUACUCAUAUACCCUUGACCGAAAACUGGUCCUCCUCUAUGGGGGAUGGUCGUCCUCUUUGACCGAGGGUGCAGCUUUGGGAGGGACGCACAUGGAGCGGUGAGGGAGGAAGGGGACACCUGCCUAGCCAGCCAGAUCAGCCGAAUCAACCCUGGCGAUCAAUGGGGUGACAGAUAUGGGAAGAGCACAAUU